CAAAAGACCACACCUGGUUUACCAUGGGAGGAGAAAAAUGGAAAACUAGUUGGAAUAAGUGGACUAAAGCCUGAUACAGCAUCAGAUACAACCAGUGAAUAUGUCUAUGCUCUAAACAGUAAUAAGGUACUGAAGUUCAGUUUGGACUUUUGUCAUGACUAUACAGAUUGUUCUCAGUGUGUGGGUACGGGUAAAGACUUGGAAUGUAUCUGGGUUAAUUCAAAAUGUGUGGCACCUCAAGCGAAUUUGGGCCACAAUCACAAUUCUUGCCGACCAUUAAUUGAUGGGAUUACACCUCUAUACGGUCCUAUUUCUGGUGGAACUAAAUUAACUUUACAUGGCAGUAAUUUAGGACGUCAGAAUGCUACUGUGAUUGUUGAAGUUUGUGACAAGCGAUGUGAUGUAAACGAACAAUUAUCAAACAAUAACAGCAUUAUAGUGUGUAAACUAAACGCUGUGAAUAAAAAUGAUACUUGUACUGUAAAAGUAAAUGUUUCUGAACAUAGAUCAGAUUACAGAAUCAGUGGAUCUUCCAAAAGUCGAGUAAAAUUUGAAUAUGUGGAAGUGACACCAUCUUUUAAACCUGUUCAUGGUCCUGAAUCAGGUGGAACAAAAAUUACUAUUACAGGACUAGAUCUGGUAGUAAAUGAUAAAAGUGAUAUUAGUGUGGAAAUUUAUAAUAUCUCAUGUAAUAUUUUACAGAAAAAUAAGGUAGGCCUACUAUGUAAAACAGGAAGAUUUGAGAGGAUGGAUAAUGUAAGUUACAAAAGGGAAGAUAUUGUUUGUAGUAAACUAAAAAUAACUAUUAAUGGUGGUACACUAACUACAAAAGAAGAAUUCUGUUACAUGGAAGAUCCAACCAUUACUGAUUUAGGUUCGUUAAGA